GGGAAAGGCGAAAAGAACCCCUGUGAGGGGAGUGAAAUAGAACCUGAAACCGUGUACGUACAAGCAGUAGGAGCAUACUUGUUAUGUGACUGCGUACCUUUUGUAUAAUGGGUCAGCGACUUAAUUUUAGUAGCAAGGUUAACCGUUUAGGGGAGCCGUAGGGAAACCGAGUCUUAACUGGGCGAAUUAGUUGCUAGGAUUAGACCCGAAACCGAGUGAUCUAGCCAUGGGCAGGUUGAAGGUGAGGUAACACUUACUGGAGGACCGAACCGACUAAUGUUGAAAAUUAGCGGAUGACUUGUGGCUAGGGGUGAAAGGCCAAUCAAACUCGGAGAUAGCUGGUUCUCCCCGAAAGCUAUUUAGGUAGCGCCUCGGACGAAUACUACUGGGGUAGAGCACUGUUAAGGCUAGGGGUCAUCCCGACUUACCAACCCUUUGCAAACUCCGAAUACCAGUAAGUAAUAUCCGGGAGACACACGGCGGGUGCUAACGUCCGUCGUGAAGAGGGAAACAACCCAGACCGCCAGCUAAGG
rnacentral:rRNA from 1 species